rnacentral:rRNA from 1 species
AGUCGAGCGGAGUGAUGGUGCUUGCACUAUCACUUAGCGGCGGACGGGUGAGUAAUGCUUAGGAAUCUGCCUAUUAGUGGGGGACAACAUCUCGAAAGGGAUGCUAAUACCGCAUACGUCCUACGGGAGAAAGCAGGGGAUCACUUGUGACCUUGCGCUAAUAGAUGAGCCUAAGUCGGAUUAGCUAGUUGGUGGGGUAAAGGCCUACCAAGGCGACGAUCUGUAGCGGGUCUGAGAGGAUGAUCCGCCACACUGGGACUGAGACACGGCCCAGACUCCUACGGGAGGCAGCAGUGGGGAAUAUUGGACAAUGGGGGGAACCCUGAUCCAGCCAUGCCGCGUGUGUGAAGAAGGCCUUAUGGUUGUAAAGCACUUUAAGCGAGGAGGAGGCUCUUUUGGUUAAUACCCAAGAUGAGUGGACGUUACUCGCAGAAUAAGCACCGGCUAACUCUGUGCCAGCAGCCGCGGUAAUACAGAGGGUGCAAGCGUUAAUCGGAUUUACUGGGCGUAAAGCGCGCGUAGGCGGCCAAUUAAGUCAAAUGUGAAAUCCCCGAGCUUAACUUGGGAAUUGCAUUCGAUACUGGUUGGCUAGAGUGUGGGAGAGGAUGGUAGAAUUCCAGGUGUAGCGGUGAAAUGCGUAGAGAUCUGGAGGAAUACCGAUGGCGAAGGCAGCCAUCUGGCCUAACACUGACGCUGAGGUGCGAAAGCAUGGGGAGCAAACAGGAUUAGAUACCCUGGUAGUCCAUGCCGUAAACGAUGUCUACUAGCCGUUGGGGCCUUUGAGGCUUUAGUGGCGCAGCUAACGCGAUAAGUAGACCGCCUGGGGGAGUACGGUCGCAAGACUAAAACUCAAUGAAUUUGACGGGGGCCCGCACAAGCGGUGGAGCAUGUGGUUUAAUUCGAUGCAACGCGAGAGCUUACCUGGCCUUGACAUAGUAGAAACUUUCAGAGAUGGAUUGGUGCCUUCGGGAUCUACAUACAGUGCUGCAUGGCUGUCGUCAGCUC